UUUGUGUGACUUGUUACCAUGAUGAUGUUUCAAUUGUUGAAGAUCGUCUUGUUCGGUGGUGGGUGUUGUGGUGGUGACGGUGUAGUGGUGGCGGUGACGUGAAGGUGCAGCGGUGGUGGUGACGGUGGACGUGCAGCGGUGGUGGGUGCUGUGGAGGUGUAGCGGUGGUGGUGACGGUGGAGGUGCAGCGGUGGUGGGUGUUGUGGAGGUGCAACGGUGGUGGGUGUUGUGGUGGUAUCGGUGUAGUGGUGGUGGCGACGGUGGAGGUGAAGUGGCGACGGUGGUGUUGACAGUGGAAGUGUGGUGGUGGGAUGGAGAUGAUUUAGGUAGAGAGAGAGAGAAAGUUCUGGAUAAUUUGGUCAUGACUUAUGACCUGAUAUUGAUCUACAGAAUAUAUAUAAUAAAAUAGUUUUUUUAAUUAAAAGGGUAAUUUGGUCAUUUAACAAAAGUUAACAGAAUAAUUUUAACAGUGUUAGAAAUUUGGACUCAAAUGGUUAAAGAAAAUGCUUAUGGGGACUCAGGUCGUUAAACUUUUUGCUUUUGAACUUAACUAGUUAAAACACAUAAAACACAGGGACUCAAAAAGUAAUUUACCCUUAAAAUAAACUUGUCUCUCUCCCUCUCUCUCUUUCCUAGUCUUCUCUCUCUCUCUAAAAAAACUUGAUCGGCCUUGACAAUCAAGGGUACGACUCUGCCGUUCUUCCUUUCUUCAGCCGCUAUUCCUUUGUUCACCCAUGAAUCCAUCUUUUUGUGAGCCUAAUCCUCACAAUUACCCCUCUAAUCGACCCCUGAUGAUCCUGAUUAAACCGCUGGUUCUGGCCAAAUUAAUAUACUAUAAGCACAAGGCAAUGUUGCCAAUCGCCUGCCGUAGUCAUUAAACAUGGAGAAUUGGAGAUAACAAUAGCUUCCAUUUAAUUUGAUGUAAAUGUACAAAAUAUAAAGAAAAGGAAGCCCAUAAAACAAUGUCUAGACAAGAUUUCAAGAGCAUAACAAUUACCAGCUGAUCAUUCCAUCUCUCUCUCAACACAUCUGCUAAUCUUAUGCCCUAACUGAAUCUAGAGUUAACAACACCCAUGCUACCAUAAAUCAUCCACGUCACUUUAAAAACCCCAAACCCCAGCUUUACACCAUGCCCCAAACUAACAGUCUUAAUUAUUUCUACUUCAAACAAACAUAUCUCCGGCCUGACGGCUAACCAUUGCCAUAAUCGGAGACCGUCUAGCUAGAAAUACGACUGUCCGGUUAAAAGAAACCCAUCUUCGGCCACCAUUGUUGUCGCCUCACCGGAAAAGGUGCAACGCCGACCGUCUGGUUAAAACCGUCGGAACAAAUCGAUUGAGGUUUAAGAAAGUUUAG
rnacentral:lncRNA from 1 species